rnacentral:lncRNA from 1 species
GAUCCACAAAGCUGCCUCCCGGGCCAAGCCUGGAAGCUGGAGAGGAUGAUGAAGAAGACGACAAUGGACCUGAACAUAAGAGAUGCGAAGAAGAGGCUGGCCACACACCACUUUUAUUGGCCAUAAGGAAAAGAAGUGAGCAAAUUGUGGAAUUUUUACUGACAAAAAAAUGCAAAUGCAAAUGGAGUUGAUAAGUUUAAAUGGUAUAGUAGUUUUUUUAUUAAAAAACACUUGAGUAGUGUGCUAGAGUAAUAACACUCAAGUCAGAAAUAUUAAAUUAAUAACAUUUACUUAAAAUUAUUAGAUUAUACAGAAAAAUAUCAAGACAAAUUAUCAGUUAGGAAGAAAAGCAAUUAUUUGGACUGGUCAACACAAAGAACAGUAUACAGUAGGAUUUUCUUCUUUUAUUAUACUGACUGAUUCUUAUUUGUAAUCUGAUGUUUUUGGUUGCAUUAUCUUCUAUUAGCUAAAGUGGUUCUGUAUUAGUUUUAAGAAGUAUGAAUUUUUAGUUUACUUUAUAAUUCAAUAUUGAAUGAUUAACACCUUUAUAGUAUUUUUCUAACUUCUGUUUUUCAUACACUUUUAAAAAAUGCAAUAUUUGCUGGGCAUGGUAGCUGUUGUCUGUUAUCCCAGCAACUUUGGGAGGCCAAGUGGGUAGAUCACCUGAGGCCAGGAGUUUGAGACCAGCCUAGCCAACAUGGUAAAACCUCAUCUCAAUGAAAAAUAUAAAAAUUAGCCAACCAUGGUGGCACAAGCCUGUAGUCCCAGGUACUCAGGACAAUAUUAUUCCUAAUAUUGUUUUAAGUCUUCAGAUUGCUCUCACUUGUCCGACUUCUAGCUAAUUUUGAAGUACAAAAUAUUAUAUCAGACUAAGGAGGAAAUAGAUAAUUCUUCACUUAAAACUUUGCCUCUUUUAGAUUAGUGAACAGAACAUAUUUUCUUGCCCCUCAGUGGACUUUAUGUUAGCCAAUUCUACUAUGCCAUAUCCCAGUGAGACAUGAGUCUUUUCACCCCUUCCUUUUAGCCUUGGUCGUGAUUUACAAGGAUAAACACUUGAGCACUCAAGAUACUUAACAUUUGUUAAUACAUGUAAAUGGUUAAUUCUAUACUGACAGGCACAUAUUAAAUUGGUUCAUUCCUAAUAAUGAAGUUAUGUCUGUUAUUUUAGCACAGCCCUCAUGCUUGCCAUAUGUCAUGGAUCAUCAGAGAUAGUUGGCACGGUUCUUCAGCAAAAUGUUGACAUCUGUGCUGAAGCUACAUGUGGAAUGAUUGCAGAACGUUAUGCUGUUGCUUGUGGAUUUAAUCUCUAAGUGUUUACAUUUAAAGGCUAGGUGAGAUUUUAUAGUUUGUUUCA